AGUAAGGUAAGCUAAACAAGCUUUCGGGCCCAUACCCCGAAUAUGUUGGUGAAAACCCCUCCCCUACUA
rnacentral:tRNA from 1 species